CCUACGGGUGGCAGCAGUGAGGAAUAUUGGUCAAUGGACGGAAGUCUGAACCAGCCAUGCCGCGUGCAGGAAGACGGCUCUAUGAGUUGUAAACUGCUUUUGUACAAGGGUAAACCUGAAUACGUGUAUUCAGCUGAAAGUACUGUACGAAUAAGGAUCGGCUAACUCCGUGCCAGCAGCCGCGGUAAUACGGAGGAUGCGAGCGUUAUCCGGAUUUAUUGGGUUUAAAGGGUGCGCAGGCGGAAGAUCAAGUCAGCGGUAAAAUUGAGAGGCUCAACCUCUUCGAGCCGUUGAAACUGGUUUUCUUGAGUGAGCGAGAAGUAUGCGGAAUGCGUGGUGUAGCGGUGAAAUGCAUAGAUAUCACGCAGAACUCCGAUUGCGAAGGCAGCAUACCGGCGCUCAACUGACGCUCAUGCACGAAAGUGUGGGUAUCGAACAGGAUUAGAUACCCUAGUAGUC
rnacentral:rRNA from 1 species